GUCCAGAUAACUCAGGCGGUAGAGUGGUAGAUUGAAAAUCUACAUGUCGGUGGUUCAACUCCACCUCUGGACA
rnacentral:tRNA from 1 species